rnacentral:rRNA from 1 species
AUUGAACGCUGGCGGCAUGCCUUACACAUGCAAGUCGAACGGCAGCAUGGAGAGCUUGCUCUCUGAUGGCGAGUGGCGAACGGGUGAGUAAUGCAUCGGAACGUACCGUGUAAUGGGGGAUAACGUAGCGACAGUUACGCUAAUACCGCAUACGACCUGAGGGUGACAGCAGGGGAUCGCAAGACCUUGCGUUAUACGAGCGGCCGAUGUCAGAUUAGCUAGUUGGUGAGGUAAAGGCUCACCAAGGCGACGAUCUGUAGCGGGUCUGAGAGGAUGAUCCGCCACACUGGGACUGAGACACGGCCCAGACUCCUACGGGAGGCAGCAGUGGGGGAUUUUGGACAAUGGGGGCAACCCUGAUCCAGCCAUGCCGCGUGAGUGAAGAAGGCCUUCGGGUUGUAAAGCUCUUUCGGCCGGGAAGAAAUCGCACAGGCUAAUACUCUGUGUGGAUGACGGUACCGGCAUAAGAAGCACCGGCUAACUACGUGCCAGCCGCCGCGGUAAAAC